UGAGACAGGUUGGUCUCCUAUCUUCUGCAGGCGUUGAAUUUUGAGGGGAUUUGCUCCUAGUACGAGAGGACCGGAGUGAACUGACCUCUGGUGUGGCUGCUGUCCUGCCAAGGGCACCGCAGCGUAGCUAUGUCGGGAAUGGAUAACCUCUGAAAGCAUCUAAGAGGGAAGCCAACCCCAAGAUCAGAAUUCGUUUGAGGCCCGUGAGAGAUGAUCACGUUGAUAGGCUCUAUGUGUAAGACGAGUAAUCGUUUCAGCAGAGGAGUACUAAUACGCCGAUUCCU
rnacentral:rRNA from 1 species